UCUCCCUCUCCCUCGCCCUCUCUUUCACUCUCUGUCUGUCCAAUGCAGGCGGCUCUAAGUUGGGAAGCUCAUUAAUUAGCGGGCCGGGGGUAGGAGGAGCCGGCUGGAAUUAGCCUGCCUAAUGCGCCUGUCAGUCCGGGCGCCGCGCCGCGCUCGGCCCGAGCUGUUUGUAAAUUACAUUAGCCGCGCCUUUAUUGCACCCGAACCUCGGGCGACUCAAAAGCCGCCGCCCCCACCCCAAACUGCGAGCCUCGCUCCCGGCGCACCCGCCUCCCGCCGGUCUGGCUGCGAUGGCAGCGCUGGCCCGGAGGUCUCAGGCUCUCCGACCCGGGAUUUGGCGCCCGAGAAGGGCGGCGUGAGCCCAGCCGGAGAGGGACGUGGCCGCUACGCGGGCCAGGACAGGAUCUUAAGGGCAACCUUGCUGUUGUCCCUUUUCCAGUCCCUCAGGAACAGUGGACCUCAGUGUUACGACAAAGCUGCCAGGAAGGGACCUGCUACUCUGACAGUCUUUGUGGAAUUCAGAGUGUUUCUUCUGCUAUUGAAGUCGACUCCGAUAGAUGGCCUCCUGCCUCCCUGGCUGAACCAGGACUGGCCCCUCGGUUUUUAUAUUCCGCCCUGGGCCACCGUCAGCAGUAACAACAACAACAAUAACCAUGACAAUAAACACCAGAAGCCCUUACCGCGUACCUGGCUUCAGGCUAAGAGUUUUAUUCAUUCAUUUAUUACUCACAACCCUAUGAGGUAGUAGCUACCGCUGUCACGCCAAUUUUAAAUAUAAGGAAAAUGAGUCCCAGAGAAGUUAAGUAACCCAUCCAAAGUCACACAGCUUGUUCUAGAGAUUGAGCCCCCAUCAUGUUUUGGGCCCAGAAACAGAGAGGAAGACAGACAGAAGAAGGAGGGUGAUGGGCAGGCAGGAGUGGCAGGAGACGGACAUUUUCAUCCCAGUAGCCCAGGGGACUGAGAAGAGGAUAAGUGGGAGGAGUCUGGUUCUGUCCCAGUGCAAGUGACAUUUGCAUUGAGCCUUAAAAAAACCAAGAGCAUUUGGGUAGGUGCAGGGGCGGGGACCACUUUCCAGGCAAGAGAAACAGCCAAGCAGGAGGCCAGCAGUGUCAGCCCAAAGGGGGAGCCAGAAUGCCACCCCCCCGCCCCAUAUUUCCUCCCUCUGUGGCCUGGGCAGCAACCUGCUCUGGGGGGUGGGGGGUGAACUCCUUGGUCCCUUGUGCACCCCCAUCAGGUCUGCAGCCUGGGGCAGGGCCUAGUGGGCUCCCAGGAUGGCUACUUAGGGCCACAGGGAGGGGGGCAGUUGGAAAAAGGCCACACCCCCAGCCUGCUGCUCCCGGACCUAGGGUGGGGGUUCCAUUUUCCUUGCUACCCACAGAAACUCCAACAGUUGAUCCUCUCUUACUAACCUAGAUGGCCCAGGAACUCUUGGGCUUGAGCAAAGCUGCUGAUGCUUGUCGGUGCCUCCCAUUCCACAGAAGUGUCUCACAGCCUGUGGGGCACCCGGCUGCAGACGGGCAGCAGUGGGGCCUGGGCUAGGCCAGGGGGACAGAGGGAGGAACGGGCCAGUCGGCCGGGAAUGGCAAGGAGACCUAGGGGCGGGCCAGCAGGGCUAGGCGGCUCUGGAAAGGCCUGAGUCAGGCUUCUCCCAAUAAACUGCACGUGAAUAAUUCAGCAGCCAUGUGGGGGCUCAUUGCAUUAGUGCCGCCGCCAGCUCAGCCCCUCGCCUUCCCGCUGAGGGGAGGGGGCGACUCUUGCGCUCGAAGAGGGGAGCCAGGUGGAAGACCCCCCUGCCCGCUGGCAUCCUGGAUUCUGCCGGGACCAAGUCCCAGAAGACUCCCUGGUCCCCGAUCUCCUCCGACCCCAAGGUCAGAGGGCUGCCUGCCAGGCAGUGCUGUUCCAGCUCAGCCGCUCUCAAGACCCUGGGCGAGACCACUCAGGCGGCAGAAGCAAGGCCAGAAUAGGGGAAGCGGGGUCCGACUGCGGAGGACCAAGCUGCUGCAGUGCCCAACCGCACCGCAGAAUGCGGGCGGCUUGGCUCCCAGCAAAGCGAAGAAGGCCGGCUCAGUCCUGCGCUCAGAGCCCGGACGCCCUGAGGCUGCUCCUCGGGCCAGGAUUUUCCUAGCGAGCCGAGCGAAGCUCCAGGCAAGCCGCAGGGCCCUUCAUUUUCUGUGGAUACCGGGUUACCCGGUCUCUGUUCCCGCCUUUCGGACCCGCGGAGCCGGUUCCUGCCACGCCAGCCUCGGGUGUGGGCCCCGGGGCCGAGUG